GGUGUUGUGGCUUAGCAGGUAAAGCUGCCGCUUAUUAUGGAGUCCCGUGUGGGCACAGGUUCGAGUCCUGGCUGCUCCA
rnacentral:tRNA from 1 species